GCCUGGGGCGUUGCCCUUACAUUGAAAGAUCCCACGCAGAGAGACCCUUACUCAAGUCUUGGGAAAUCGUGGACCCCAGACACAGAGAGACCA
rnacentral:pre_miRNA from 14 species